UGGCCCUUAGCUCAAUUGCGAAGAGCGUUGCGGUUAUACACGUCGCGGUAUCCGGGUUCGAGUCCCGGAGGGCCAACAA
rnacentral:tRNA from 1 species